GACGAACGCUGGCGGCGUGGAUUAGGCAUGCAAGUCGAACGGUAUCAUCCUUUCGGGGAUGAGAGAGUGGCGAACGGGUGAGUAACACGUAGGUGAUCUACCCUCAAGACGGGGACAACCCAGGGAAACUUGGGCUAAUACCGGAUGUGAGCUAUCGUGAGAUAGUUUGAAAGGUGGCUUCGGCUGCCGCUUGAGGAUGAGCCUGCGUCCUAUUAGUUAGUUGGUGAGGUAACGGCUCACCUAGGCAAUGAUAGGUAGGCGGCCUUAACGGGUGGUCGCCCACACUGGGAUUGAGAUACGGCCCAGACUCCUACGGGAGGCAGCAGUCGAGAAUAGUCUACAAUGGUCGGAAGACUGAUAGUGCGACGCCGCGUGAACGAUGAAUCCCUUCGGGGUGUAAAGUUCUUUUAUAUGUGAGCAGUGCUUCUUAUAUUAACAGUAUGGGGAGAGAGAUAUUAGCAUAUGAAUAAGCAACGGCUAACUCCGUGCCAGC
rnacentral:rRNA from 1 species